CCUACGGGGGGCAGCAGUGGGGAAUAUUGGACAAUGGGGGGAACCCUGAUGCAGCGACGCCGCGUGAGUGAAGAAGUAUUUCGGUAUGUAAAGCUCUAUCAGCAGGGAAGAAAGAAAUGACGGUACCUGACUAAGAAGCCCCGGCUAACUACGUGCCAGCAGCCGCGGUAAUACGUAGGGGGCAAGCGUUAUCCGGAUUUACUGGGUGGAAAGGGAGCGUAGACGGCGAUGCAAGUCUGAAGUGAAAGGCGGGGGCUCAACCCCCGGACUGCUUUGGAAACUGUAUGGCUGGAGUGCAGGAGAGGUAAGUGGAAUUCCUAGUGUAGCGGUGAAAUGCGUAGAUAUUAGGAGGAACACCAGUGGCGAAGGCGGCUUACUGGACUGUAACUGACGUUGAGGCUCGAAAGCGUGGGGAGCAAACAGGAUUAGAUACCCUUGUAGUC
rnacentral:rRNA from 1 species